ACACCUCAACUCUCAUGGCCUGCCAUGAUGAGCUUGGACUUUGGAGGUCUUGCCGGCGUACCGUCGGCUCCUCUCAAACGAAUCAGCUUGCCAGUGUUUGGUGGCGUCACAGGUGUGAUAACUAUCUACGCUUGUGGUUUUCCGCCGGGCAACCUCCAGCGAUGGAGGUUCGCUGGAGCUCACAAACGUCUCUCCUAAGCGAGGACAGCUUUUUGAAC
rnacentral:misc_RNA from 1 species